UACAGAGGCCCCAAGCGUUACUGAGAAUCACUGGGUUAAAGGGUGCGUAGGUGGCGCGUUAAGUCCGUUGUGAAAUCCCUUGGCUCAACCAAGGAAAUGCUUCGGAUACUGGCGUGCUUGAGGCCGGUAAGGGUCACUGGAACUGACGGUGGAGCGGUGAAAUGCGUAGAUAUCGUCAGGAACGCCAAUGGUGAAGACAGGUGACUGGGCCGGUUCUGACACUGAGGCACGAAAGCGUGGGGAGCGAACGGG
rnacentral:rRNA from 1 species